UGAGGACCGCGGCCCCGCGCACGCGUAGAAGGGCCGGGCGCCCGCAACCCACUGGGGGAGGAAAAAAGGAGAGAAAUCACCUCAGAGUUACGUCAGGAAAGGCCGCGUUUUGCGGGGAGGCCGUAACCCCCAACAGGGCCCAACGUCCUUCGAGGGCGCGAGACGUGACGGUUACUCACCACUCUUCAGCCCCGGGGCAGAGGCAGUGACCAGCCACCUCAUGUUUCUGCUGCCUGCCAUGAUGUCCCUUCCCCACCAUGAUGGACUGCACCUUUAAACCCUUCCUAAGUUCUCCUGUCAGGAUCUGUAUGUGUAAUGUUGUCCUGUCCUGGACAGGAGAACUGGAAACCUUCAUCCACCUCCAAAGUGUUGAAGAGGCAGAUAUGCUGUGUGGCACAGCCUUCACUGCUCUCCCAGCCAGAGCCACACCUCCAGCACUUCCAACAAGCAGCUCAGAUACAAAGAGGUCCCAGGAAAACGCAGUGACACUUGCCUGUCUGCAGCUUUUCUUCUUGAGUGAGUUUUAGUGAGUAUUAUGUUGAUGCUGCUGCUGCCAUGGCCACCAUCCUCCAUCGACAUCAGACUCCAGCUUCUUCAGUCUUCCAACAGAGACUAAAUACCAGCGACUCUCCAGAGAGUUUCCAGGUUUUCAGAAUGGACUAGGCCCACAGUAGUAGAUUGACACUGCUGAUGUAUUCAUUUUCGUGGAGUGGGUUUCUCAGCCUCUUUGGCUUGCAUGGCUAUUGAUGGGCUAGCCAGCCUCUAUAGUAUAUAUGUACUCAUUGGUUCUGUCUCUCUAAAGAACCUUGCCUAAAACAAUGUCCAAUGGAAGAGAACACCAAUACCAAAUGGUUGGCCUUGAAAACAUACAUGCAAAUAAUAUUGUACAGACUGAGAGGGUUGUAUUUAGGAAAAAAUAUAUACAUAUGGGUAUAUGGGAGGAUUUGGAUGAAGGAAAGAAAGAGGAAAUGAUGCAAUUAUAUUAUAAUAUAAAAAAUAUAAAAUAAGUAAUAACAAAGAGGAGAAAAAGAAUGGAAAUGCAGAAAAAUAGGAACCAGAUAUAUGGUAGGUUCUCAAUUUAUAACCCAGGCUGCCCUCAAACUCAUUAACACUACUGCCUCAGCCUACUGACUACUGGGAUUACAGAGCUACCACACCCAGGAAAAGAUUUUCAUUUGAACAGAGUUAAAAAAUAUGUGUUAGAGAUCACCAGUAUUCACUUGGUUUUAUUUGGGAUGGCAAUGUGCUUCACUAAAUAACUGCCCUUUCUAA